ACUCCUACGGGAGGCAGCAGUAAGGAAUAUUGCGCAAUGGGCGAAAGCCUGACGCAGCCACGCCGCGUGGAGGAAGACCACCCCUAUGGGGCGUAAACUCCUUUUAUAUGAGAAGAAGGCCUUGGUCGCCAAGGUUUGACGGUAUCAUAUGAAUAAGCACCGGCUAACUCCGUGCCAGCAGCCGCGGUAAUACGGAGGGUGCAAGCGUUGUCCGGAUUUACUGGGUGUAAAGGGUGUGUAGGUGGAAUUGCAAGUCAGUGGUGAAAUCCUGCGGCUUAACCGUAGAACUGCCAUUGAUACUGCUUUCUUGAGUACUGGAGAGGUCACUAGAAUUCGUGGUGUAGCGGUGAAAUGCGUAGAUAUCACGAGGAAUACCAGAGGCGUAGGCGGGUGACUGGACAGAUACUGACACUGAGGCACGAAAGCGUGGGAGCAAACAGGAUUAGAUA
rnacentral:rRNA from 1 species